GAGGAAAAGAAACCAACAGGGAUUGCCUCAGUAACGGCGAGUGAAGCGGCAAAAGCUCAAAUUUGGAAUCCUUCGGGAGUUGUAAUUUGAAGGUUUCGGGCCUGGAGAUUGCGGCGCGCCCAAGUCCAUUGGAACAUGGCGCCUGGGAGGGUGAGAGCCCCGUCCGGCGCGGCGCAGUCUUCUUCUACGGCCCGGCUCCGACGAGUCGAGUUGUUUGGGAAUGCAGCUCAAAGUGGGUGGUAAAUUCCAUCUAAAGCUAAAUAUUGGCGAGAGACCGAUAGCGAACAAGUACAGUGAUGGAAAGAUGAAAAGCACUUUGAAAAGAGAGUGAAACAGUACGUGAAAUUGUUGAAAGGGAAGGGCUUGCAAGCAGACACGGUUUCGGCCGGGCCAGCAUCGGUUUGUCGGGGUGGAUAAGACCGCGGGAAUGUGGCGCGCUUUUCUUUUGAGGGCGCGUGUUUAUAGCCCGCCGGAGAUACACCCAUGGUAGACCGAGGCCUGCGGAUUCUUGUAAUUCAAGGAUGCUGGCGUAAUGGUUGCAAGUCGCCCGUCUUGA
rnacentral:rRNA from 1 species